AGCGAACGCUGGCGGCAGGCUUAACACAUGCAAGUCGAGCGGGCACUCCGGUGUCACCGGCUGACGGGUGAGUAACGCGUGGGAACGUACCCUUUGGCUCGGAAUAAUGCUGGGAAACUAGCGCUAAUACCGGAUACGCUCUGCUGGGGAAACGCAUGCUGCCGAAGUAUCGGCACGCGUCGGAUUAGCUAGUUGGGGGGGUAAUGGCCUACCAAGGCGACGAUCAGUAGCUGGUCUGAGAGGAAGCGCAGCUACCCUCGGACAGAGACACGGCCCCGACACCUACGCGGGGCAGCAGCGCGGACUAUUGCGGAAGGGGGGAAAGCGUGAUCCAGCCAAACCGGGGCGGUGCUGAAGCCGUCCUGGCGGGUAAGUCAUGAUGUCGUGAGGGUUGUGCAGCACUUUUGUCCGCCGCGAUACUGACGGUACCGGAAGAAUAAGCCCCGGCUAACUUCGUG
rnacentral:rRNA from 1 species